GUCGAACGAUGAACCACUUCGGUGGGGAUUAGUGGCGAACGGGUGAGUAACACGUGGGCAAUCUGCCCUGCACUCUGGGACAAGCCCUGGAAACGGGGUCUAAUACCGGAUACUGAUCCUCGCAGGCAUCUGCGAGGUUCGAAAGCUCCGGCGGUGCAGGAUGAGCCCGCGGCCUAUCAGCUAGUUGGUGAGGUAACGGCUCACCAAGGCGACGACGGGUAGCCGGCCUGAGAGGGCGACCGGCCACACUGGGACUGAGACACGGCCCAGACUCCUACGGGAGGCAGCAGUGGGGAAUAUUGCACAAUGGGCGAAAGCCUGAUGCAGCGACGCCGCGUGAGGGAUGACGGCCUUCGGGUUGUAAACCUCUUUCAGCAGGGAAGAAGCGAAAGUGACGGUACCUGCAGAAGAAGCGCCGGCUAACUACGUGCCAGCAGCCGCGGUAAUACGUAGGGCGCAAGCGUUGUCCGGAAUUAUUGGGCGUAAAGAGCUCGUAGGCGGCUUGUCACGUCGGUUGUGAAAGCCCGGGGCUUAACCCCGGGUCUGCAGUCGAUACGGGCAGGCUAGAGUUCGGUAGGGGAGAUCGGAAUUCCUGGUGUAGCGGUGAAAUGCGCAGAUAUCAGGAGGAACACCGGUGGCGAAGGCGGAUCUCUGGGCCGAUACUGACGCUGAGGAGCGAAAGCGUGGGGAGCGAACAGGAUUAGAUACCCUGGUAGUCCACGCCGUAAACGGUGGGCACUAGGUGUGGGCAACAUUCCACGUUGUCCGUGCCGCAGCUAACGCA
rnacentral:rRNA from 1 species